GAUGAACGCUGGCGGCGUGCCUAAUACAUGCAAGUCGAGCGAACGGACCAGAAGCUUGCUUCUCUGAUGUUAGCGGCGGACGGGUGCGUAACUCGUGGAUAACCUACCUAUAAGACUGGGAUAACUUCGGGAAACCGUAGCUAAUACCGGAUAAUAUUUUGAACCGCAUUGUUCAAACGUGAAAGACGGUCUUGCUGUCACUUAUAGAUUGAUCCGCGCUGCAUUAGCUACUUGGUAAGGUAACGGCUUACCAAGGCAACGAUGCAUAGCCGACCUGAGAGGGUGAACGGACACACGGGAACUGAGACACGGUAGAGACACCUACGGGAGGCCGCAGUAGGGAAUCUUCCGCAAGGGACGAAAGCCGGAUGGAGCAAAACCGGGUGAGGGAUGAAGGACUUCGGAUCGUAAAACGCUGUUAUUAGGGAAGAACAAAUGUGUAAGUAACUGUGCACAUCUUGACGGUACCUAAAGAAAAAGCCACGGCUAACUACGUG
rnacentral:rRNA from 1 species